GCCCGCUUAGCUCAGUGGUAGAGCGCGCCACUCGUAUGCAAGUGGAAUGGUGAGGUCGGUUGUUCAAUCCAGCCAGUGGGCA